GUGGGGAAUAUUGGACAAUGGGCGAAAGCCUGAUCCAGCCAUGCCGCGUGUGUGAAGAAGGUCUUCGGAUUGUAAAGCACUUUAAGUUGGGAGGAAGGGCAGUAAGUUAAUACCUUGCUGUUUUGACGUUACCGACAGAAUAAGCACCGGCUAACCUCGUGCCAGCAGCCGCGGUAAUACGAAGGGUGCAAGCGUUAAUCGGAAUUACUGGGCGUAAAGCGCGCGUAGGUGGUUUUGUAAGUUGGAGGUGAAAUCCCAGGGCUAAACCUGGGAACUGCCUCCAAAACUGCAUGACUAGAGUACGGUAGAGGGUAGUGGAAUUUCCUGUGUAGCGGUGAAAUGCGUAGAUAUAGGAAGGAACACCAGUGGCGAAGGCGACUACCUGGACUGAUACUGACACUGAGGUGCGAAAGCGUGGGGAGCAAACAGGAUUAGAAACCCUUGUAGUCC
rnacentral:rRNA from 1 species